rnacentral:rRNA from 1 species
GACGAACGCUGGCGGCGUGCUUAACACAUGCAAGUCGAACGGUGAAGCUCCAGCUUGCUGGAGUGGAUCAGUGGCGAACGGGUGAGUAACACGUGAGCAACCUGCCCCUGACUCUGGAAUAAGCGCUGGAAACGGCGUCUAAUACUGGAUACGAGAAGGGUCCGCAUGGGCACUUUCUGGAAAGUUUUUCGGUUGGGGAUGGGCUCGCGGCCUAUCAGCUUGUUGGUGAGGUAAUGGCUCACCAAGGCGACGACGGGUAGCCGGCCUGAGAGGGCGACCGGCCACACUGGGACUGAGACACGGCCCAGACUCCUACGGGAGGCAGCAGUGGGGAAUAUUGCACAAUGGGCGAAAGCCUGAUGUAGCGACGCCGCGUGAGGGAUGACGGCCUUCGGGUUGUAAACCUCUUUCAGCAGGGAAGAAGCGAAAGUGACGGUACCUGCAGAAGAAGCACCGGCUAACUACGUG